ACAAAAUCUGACUCAGAUGGGAGCACAGAUGGGAGAGAAAGCCGAGUGGGAAGGAGUUCAGCCCACCACCUUAUGAACUCUGAUGCUGUGGACAGUGAUGAUCCCACACUGCUCUGCGGGUGCAAGAUUGCGGUGGCAGUAACACGUCUUCCGUCUCAGCUUGUGAGACUCUGACAGAGUGAAGCAAUCUCCUUUCAAAAUAAGCAGCGGAAAGAGCUCCAACAGCGCAGCAACACUGCAGAGGCUGGUGGAAGUCCACCAAGAAUGCCUCUGAAGCCACCAGUCCUCCACAAUAGUGGUGUUCAGCUGGGAGACUGAUGACGAGAGAUGGAUGGAAAACUAGGUACAAGUUGAGAAUGGAGUGCUAUAACACCACCUGUACUCAGUUACAUGAACCUGGAGACUGGUGUUCAGUCAGUCAUCUUGACUUUCCACAAAAGGUCAAACAUCUACUCGUCAAUACUGGAAUUAUAGAAACAAAGUGUUGCAAACAUGCAGCAGAUGUGAAUAGAGAGACUGAACAUUAAACCCAGGAUC